AACUUGAGGAUUUAUUUCAUAAAAUAGCUGCAAAAAUGUAUAUAUAAAUAUUUUAUUUACCACAUAUUCCAAGUGAAAACUAGGAAGGAUUCGAAAAAUUAUUCA
rnacentral:sRNA from 1 species